GUAGCUCAGUUGGUAGAGCAUUGUGCUUACAGUGCCAGGGUUGUGGGUUUGAUUCCCACC
rfam:Salmo salar isolate Sally breed double haploid chromosome ssa16, whole genome shotgun sequence.